AUCUCUGGGUAGAGAUAAAAAAUUAGAGAUAUUCAUCUAUAAAUGAUUAUUAAAAUCAUGUAUGUAAAGAAGUGAAGAGGGCCUAGGAUGGAGUCUUGAAUACUUACUGACCAGAUUAGGGGAAGAUGAAUCUGCACAGAAGAUCCAGGAGGAGUGUCCAGAAAGGGAGGAAAACCAAAGGAAAAGAUGCUGGAGCCACAGGAGAAUGGCUUGAUUGACCUACCAGAUUAUGAGCAUGUAGAAGAUGAAACUUUUCCUCCUUUUCCACCUCCAGUUUCUCCACAGAGAGAAAAUGGUGAAGGAGCUGAACCUGAUGAAGAGUCAGGGAGAGGAGCACCUGUUCCUGUACCUCCAAAGAGAACAGUUAAACGGAAUAUACCCAAGCUGGAUGCUCAGAG